UCUCGUGCCGGUCGAACGGCAGCGCGGGGCAACCUGGCGGCGAGUGGCGAACGGGUGAGUAAUAUAUCGGAACGUACCCUGGAGUGGGGGAUAACGUAGCGAAAGUUACGCUAAUACCGCAUACGAUCUAAGGAUGAAAGUGGGGGCUUCGCAAGAACCUCAUGCUCCUGGAGCGGCCGAUAUCUGAUUAGCUAGUUGGUAGGGUAAAAGCCUACCAAGGCUUCGAUCAGUAGCUGGUCUGAGAGGACGACCAGCCACACUGGAACUGAGACACGGUCCAGACUCCUACGGGAGGCAGCAGUGGGGAAUUUUGGACAAUGGGCGCAAGCCUGAUCCAGCAAUGCCGCGUGAGUGAAGAAGGCCUUCGGGUUGUAAAGCUCUUUUGUCAGGGAAGAAACGGUGUUUUCUAAUACAGAAUGCUAAUGACGGUACCUGAAGAAUAAGCACCGGCUAACUACGUGCCAGCAGCCGCGGUAAUACGUAGGGUGCAAGCGUUAAUCGGAAUUACUGGGCGUAAAGCGUGCGCAGGCGGUUUUGUAAGUUUGUCGUGAAAGCCCCGGGCUCAACCUGGGAAUUGCGAUGAAGACUGCAAGGCUUGAAUCUGGCAGAGGGGGGUAGAAUUCCACGUGUAGCAGUGAAAUGCGUAGAGAUGUGGAGGAACACCGAUGGCGAAGGCAGCCCCCUGGGUCAAGAUUGACGCUCAUGCACGAAAGCGUGGGGAGCAAACAGGAUUAGAUACCCUGGUAGUCCACGCCCUAAACGAUGUCUACUAGUUGUCGGGUUUUAAUUAACUUGGUAACGCAGCUAACGCGUGAAGUAGACCGCCUGGGGAGUACGGUCGCAAGAUUAAAACUCAAGGAAUUGACGGGGACCCGCACAGGCGUGGAUGAUGUGGAUUAAUUCGAUGCACGCGAAAACCUUACCUACCUUGACAUGUACGAAGCUGAGAAGAUUGGCUGUGCUCGAAGAGACCGUACACAGUGCUUGCAUGCUGUCGUCAGCCUCGUGUCUGUGAAUGUUGGGUUAAGUUCGGCA
rnacentral:rRNA from 1 species